GCCAAAAUUGACCAGGCCUGAACAGUGGCACAAAUCACACACACCUGAACACUGGACUGUAUAGGAUGAGAGUCACUGCAUCAGCCAGGCACAGACACAACUCCUCCAAGUGCCAACCUCCAGCCUUUGGGGAUUGUGAUGUCUCAAGAUGGAUCACUGAGCACAUUUGACUGUGAGUGACUCCUGCCCAUGAAAGGCCAUGCCAAAACAACUGUUCUUCCAAAUGCUGUAAAACAUGUUUGCUCAUGCACUUGAAGCGGCAAGACUGCAAGUUGAUCCUCAAAACUGAACCAAAGAGCAUCCCUGAAUUUUCUGCAUCAACCAUAAAGGGAGAUUUCCCCAGCAGGACAAGCCAUACGGUUCAUACCCUCUCUGGAGAUCACAACUGAAUCAGUUAGCUUAUUUGACUACCGGAUCUUCCCUUGAGAAAAAACUACACAACAAUGACAAGUCAGAAAAUCCAAGUCAGCCACAGCUUCUUGGCAUACCAGAACAAUUCUAAGUAAUGCUCA